UUAAAGUCUUGUUAGAGACUUUUUGGAGUAUGAGAUCUGGUUCAACAGAAGCAGGCAAGACCCAAAGACUGUUGGAAUCUAGAACCCAAAGAGUAUCCAAUAUGAGUUUGUGGGCCUCUAAUCCUUUAAGGAGCCGAGAUCAAACUGAUCAACAGAUUCUUUGGGUGGCACCCUCAGAUCUUCUAAAUCAGUGAGACUUAGGUGGGUUGGUCCAGAUCCUUAAGAAGAGCUUAGCUCAGCAGAUUCCCAAGGGAAAGAAUCUCUUCUGCAGAAGUCAAGAGAUCGUCCAAGGAUAUUCCUCCAGCUCUGAACGUGCUUAUUAUCCAAGCUCUGGGUGUAAAAACAUUCACUUUGCCACUAGAUUUAAAGAAAGUGGAUCGGAAAGAAAUGCUCCAAGGUGUGAAUCACUGGAGUUCUUCUGCCUUUGAAUAGAAUACCUCACUUUCUUCUCUAGAAUGCUGGGGGGAGAGGCAGGAAGCCAGGGCACAGCAGUGCAGGCAAGGGCAGAGUGGGGUGUGUGUCACACACCGAUGCCAGCUUCAGAUGGAAAAUCCCUUUUGGUGGUGGUGUUUUUUUUAAUGUUGAUUUUCUCCCAUCUGACGAGGACUCCUGCUUAGAAGAAGACGCUGGCUGUCAAGACGAGUGGCUGCCAAGAGGCAGACCUGAUGAAGUGGUUACAUAAGAUCAUUACAACAAUGCACAUCAGUAAAAUGUUACAAUAAUACAGAAAUAUAUUUUGAUGCUCCUGGGCAUAAUGAAUUCCAGUCAUCCAUGGACUAUCAGAAGAGUGGGAGAUGACUGUCAACUCUUCAGAAUCAGGUGGACUUGGUGAGUUCCAUCCACUGAAAGGCAGAAAUGAAACCAGGGCGGGUGAAACAUCGUGAUGUCAAUGGUGAUGGAAAAAUCUACAUGACUGAGGACGAGGUGAAGAAAAGCAGAUCAACUUCAUGUUCUCAGUAUUAACACAUUUCCCUCAGUGUUUUUCUCCCUCUCCUCAUCAUAGGCCUAGUGUAGGGGAAUGCAGAAAAAAAUAAUUCCUAUAGGCAGCAGAGAUUUCAACUUGUAUUAAGAGACUAGGCCCCACUAUUCCCCCUACUGCCUUUUCUAAACCAAUGGAAAAAAGUGGCAACAAAGUAUACAAAUAUGAACGCAGGGGUUGCAGUCCCACUGUAGUGAUUAUUGCGGCUUCUUAUAUUAGGGCAAACAUUCGUGGUUAAUCACAGUUUUGAAUCGAAAACAAGAAGUUCAUGCUAUGGGCAUCUCCAGUCUUUUUCUGUAUUUAUGGAAUGAGCACCCUCCACCUGUUCCAACCAGUGGGACAAGAAUGGGUGGGAAAGUUGCAUUCAAAUGAAUUUUCAGUGUAGCUCUCUGGCCAGUUUUAAAAUUUGUGGUGUGGCUCCCUCCAACCUCUAUCCUCAGAGCAAAAAUGGGUUGACUCCUUCACCACCACCCCUCAUGGUCUUUGUAUGCUUCACAACUGCCUGCUUUUUCUUUUUAAUAUUAAAGCACAAUCCAAAUGCAUAACUAAAGCUCAUGUGGUUAUAUUUCUGCCUUUCAGUGGCUGGGAUUCAUCACCUCCCCCUGAUUCAGAAGAACUGGCUUAGCUGUCUUCUACUAUAACAAUCAAUGGGUGACUGUACUUCAUUAUACCCAGGGGUCUCAAUAGAGAUUUUCACAUUAAUUAAGCCUCUCACAUUUUGCAUCAGAAAAGUCUGAAUUCUGCAAUCUAAAUAAAUUUGGUGCCGUAGAAUAGCAGCUGUCAAUUGUGAUUGUCAUGCAGUGUGUGAUUUGUAAAAAAUGUUUGGUGACUGACUCUGUAU